rnacentral:rRNA from 1 species
CCUACGGGUGGCAGCAGUGAGGAAUAUUGCGCAAUGGGCGAAAGCCUGACGCAGCGACGCCGCGUGAGGGAUGAAGGUCUUCGGAUCGUAAACCUCUGUCAGCAGGGAAGAACGGUCACUGUGCUAAUCAGCAGUGAAUUGACGGUACCUGCAAAGGAAGCACCGGCUAACUCCGUGCCAGCAGCCGCGGUAAUACGGAGGGUGCGAGCGUUAAUCGGAAUUACUGGGCGUACAGCGCUCGUAGGCGGUAUGUCAAGUCAACGGGGAAAUCCCCGCGCUCAACGUGGGAACUGCCUUUGAAACUGGCAAACUGGAGUGUGUGAGAGGAUAGUGGAAUGCCAGGUGUAGGAGUGAAAUCCGUAGAUAUCUGGAGGAACAUCAGUGGCGAAGGCGACUAUCUGGCACAUAACUGACGCUGAGGAGCGAAAGCGUGGGUAGCAAACAGGAUUAGAUACCCCAGUAGUC